CACGUAGGGCGCAAGCGUUGUCCGGAAUUAUUGGGCGUAAAGAGCUCGUAGGUGGUUUGCUGCGUCCGCUGUGAAAACCCAAGGCUUAACCUUGGGCUUGCAGUGGAUACGGGCAGACUAGAGGUAGGUAGGGGAGAAUGGAAUUCCCGGUGUAGCGGUGAAAUGCGCAGAUAUCAGGAGGAACACCGGUGGCGAAGGCGGGUCUCUGGGCCGAUACUGACGCUGAGGAGCGAAAGCGUGGGGAGCGAACAGG
rnacentral:rRNA from 1 species